AGGAGCGAGAGAGAGAGAGAGAGAGAGAGAGAGAGAGACAGAGAGACAGAGACAGACAGACUGAAAGAGUGAGAGAAAUUGUGAGAGAGUGGGGAAGGUAACUUUUGGGGUAUAGGCACAGGUCUAUGUAGAUAAAGUGACAGGCCCAGGCAGACGGUCAGACAUUGAGACCGAGAGUAACCAACUCUUGAACACAGCUGAGAACAGCAAAGACAGAGAAAUGGAGCAGCAGCAACAGGAAGCCUCACUGAUGUGAUAUAGAACGAGGAAGUGGCAGAGACACAUUGACAGGAAGAGCAAGACACCUGGGCUAGCAAGAGCAGGGCAGGGGACAGUGAGACAGUUCAGAGCAUCUGGAUAAGAGGGGAAAGAUUGUACGGAAGACAGGGUGGGUGAAAUUGAAGAGGAAUCGGCAAGACUGUGUGUAUUUUACCUGCUGAGGGUGCUGCUCGUCAACUAAUCUGCCACGAGUCUCACUGCAAAGUGUUUUAAUUCCCCUCAGGGCAUUAAUCUAAAGAGAGAUUGUUUUGAGCCACGUCGUGUGUCCCUCGUGGCUGAGGGAGAGUGAGCCCCUGCUGGUCUACACCAGAUACCCGCUGGGUGCUAGCCCCCGGGCAGCGUGUCGCAGGUGAGGCAGGAGACAGGCACAGAGCUCAACAACGUGCAGGCGGACAUGGUGUGAGGUAGGGCCGAGAAACAGUCAUGGAGAAAGUCAGCUUGAAAGGAAAUGAAGAACAACUCCCCAUCCAGAUAUUUCCAGAUCCGCUGGAGAGCGCCGAGGAGUGUUCCAGGAGUAUUAAAGGACGACUGCCUUCCAUUGUCAUUGAGCCAACUGACAACAGCGAAGUAGAGAGCGGAGAGCUGCGUUGGCCACCAGAGGUGUUUGAAGAUGGGGGCAACUACUGUGAGGCAGACAGUCCCCUUGGUACUUAUCCAGAUCCCAGUGAGGCCUCACCACAAGGGGAAGCAGAAGAGAAAGAGAAAACACCUGUGACGAGCAGCCCUGAGGGAACUGUGGUUGUGACCUUCCCCCACGACAACCAGGAGGUGUCUGAUGGCAACUGAAUUCACCAAGGUGGAAGCACAUUCCAACUUUCAAGUGAUGAAGUGAACUGAUCUCUCAGGAGGGCAAUGGUUCUAGAGAUGAUACUGAAAAACUGAUAUCAUCUUCAAUCCUCUCUCCACCACUCUGCUACCACAACUCACCCCCUUCUCCAUCCUGCCAUUCCAACUGGAGUGAUAGCUCUCCUUUCCCCAACUCACAUGGUCCUCUGUUCAGCUCACCUCAUCCAGGCUGGCUCUGGGAUGCACAGAACUGUGAUAUAGAAGCAAAGAUCAAGAUAACUGGAUUGUACAAAAUUCAUGGUAUAAUCUGAGGAAGGACAAUGAUUACUGUAAGUGGGUUUGGGGUUUGUACAGUCCUGAGGAGGAGAUGCAAAAUUUUAGACUCUGCCAACCUUUUGAACGAGCUUCCCAAUCAGCCCCAGCUCCCCAUUCCCUUUUCCCACAUCCUUCACUCAAUUGUUUAUUUAAAUUGCCAUUGGAAGUUCCCAUUAAAUCUGCUGUGUGCAAGUCAUGGGAACACAGGGAUACUUCAUCCUGCCUUAUUCACUCCUGUUCAACAGUGGUACAUCAGAACCCCCUUGUCACCUACACUCCACGCUGGAAGCCAGCCCUUCCCAUUACCUCUCUUUCAGAUCUCUGCAUCUCUGAUCGCCCUGCCUGAUGGAGGAGAUAACUAGUCCUUGAAGGCUUUAGUGAUAGAAGGAAAGAUUUAAGACUCCAGAAGCCAUCUGUUAGUGUGUCGUUAUGCAAAGUGUCCUCAGCUGUAAUUCUUUUAGUUUGCCUUGCUCUUUGAGGGAAAUUGUCCAACAAUAUUUGACAUGAUUUAUGAUUUGCAACACCUACAGUCCAGGUUGUCAGCUAGAUUCUGGUCUUGCCGGCUAUGCCAGGCAUAGUCCUCCCCCUGGCUAGAAGCUGCACCACUUUUUUAGUGUUCUCAAUAGCUCUCGUUGUUUUUUUUAUGCUGCAUCAGAUUCAGAUCAACGAUCAUUUCGUUUUCCUUUACACUGUGUACCUGCAGAGGAACAAUAAAAAACCUUACAUAUUGAAUCUUGUGGACCAUAGACCCCACCUGGCAGCAGCGGUGAAGUGGUAGAAGCUGUACAUUUAGAAAAUAGCUAUAGGUACUUUUAACCUGAAUAUAAAUUGGGAUAGGUGUAUCAAUAUUACAGGAUCAUAGAAAUCUGCAACAUAGAGUGAGGCCAUUUGACCUACCGAGCUGAUGUUGGCCAAAAAAGCAUUUCCCAGCUUCUCUCCCAUAAGCCCUGAAGGUUACGACUCUUCAAGAAUCUAUCUCCUUACUUUUAACAAUGAGUGUGCCUGCUUCCACCACCCUUACAGGCAGUGAGUUCCACCCCCACACCAUCACUGAGCAUUUGUUAUCUCACUGCUCUGUGACGCAUGAACUAAUCAACUUAAGUUUAAGCUUCCUAGUUAUUGACCCCUCUGCUUAAGAAAAUAAAGUAAAUCUCCGAUAAACUGGUAUCCAAUUUCUCAGUAAUCUCAAUGGUAUGACAUUUCAAUGGCAUCGCAGGUUGGUAGGGUUGUAAAGAGAGCUGUUGGUACAUUGGUCUUCAUAAAUCAGGGCAUUGGGACAUGGAUGAGGCCGAAUUUAGACUACUGUGUACAUUUCUAGACAUCUGCUUACUGGUGCUGGUUAUCCAUGGUAUCUGAUGAUGACAGGAAACUUGUAGUACAGUUUUUAAAGUGGUGGUUGUCCAUGGUAUCUGAUGAUGACAGGAAACUUGUAGGACAGUUUUUAAAGUGGUGGCUGUCCGUCAUAUCUGACGAUGACAGGAAAGUUGUAGUACAGUUUUUAAAGUGGUGGUUGUCCAUCGUAUCUGACGAUGACAGGAAACUUGUAGGACAGUUUUUAAAAUGGUGGCUGUCCAUCAUAUCUGACGAUGACAGGAAAGUUGUAGGACAGUUUUUAAAGUGCUGGUUGUCCAUGGUAUCUGACGAUGACCGGAAAGUUGUAGGACAGUUUUUAAAGUGGAAAAGCCUUUGUACUGGGACAGUUCCACUCUCGACCUCAGAAGUUCGGGUCCAGUGGUCCGAGUAAUUCUUCACAACUGGGGUCUUCCUUGGUUGCAGUGGAUGACCAUGGCAUCUUCUGUGCCUCGACAUCCCCUUUGUUCUCCACAAAGCGUUGCAGAACCGCCUUGGAUGUCAUUGUAGAUCGAAUCCAUCCAGUCCGCAGGAGCUGACUUCGCAAGCUGGGACAGGCAUGUCCCUUUCUCACUGGGGUAUGAGGCCCACCAGCUACCCUCACCUGGUUUAGCCCACCUGUCAAAGUGGUGUACCAGGGUGUGGCCAAGUUGCAUGCAAACAGCUACGUGGUGUCUCAGGUGAGAGGUGAGUGUGUGGUGGGGACUAAAGGUGAGUGAGCUGUUCUGGAAUGGACACGAUAAGCCCCUUCACCAGAGCUGCUACCCCUCCCUAGACCCUCCAUACAUCCCAAGAGUACUGUGUGCAAUUCUAGUCGCCUGCCUACUGGAAAGAUAUCAAUAAGCUUGAAAGAAUGUAGAGAAAAAUUACAAGGGACUUGAGGACCUGAGUUAUCAGGAAAGAUUAAAUCGGUUAGGUCAUUAUUCCCUGGAGUGUCAGAAAAUGAAGGGAAAUCUUAUAGAUGAGUAUAGAGAAGGUAAAUUCAAGCAGGUUUUUUCUCCUUAUUUUGAAUGAGACAGAAAUUAGAGGUCAUGGGUCUAGGGUGAAAGGUAAAAUAUUUAUGGGGAGUCUAAGGGGAAACUUCUUCACGCAGAGGGUGAUGGGAGUGUGGAAUGAGCUGUCAGCAGAAGUGGUGGAUGCAGGAUGAAAUGUACAAUUUGAGAGAAGUUUGGAUGAGAGUGGUAUGGGGGUCUCUGGUCCAGGUGCAGGUCGAUGGGACUAGGCAGAAAAAUAGUUCGGCACAGACUAGAUGGGUCAAAGGGUCUAGAUGGGGCUGUUUCUUUGCUCUGUGAUUCUAUGACUCAGUGGCUGACCAGCUUUUGUAAACUGUUGUCCCUUUAAACUCACUGGGACACCAGUCCCCAUACUCCUUUAAUACUCACUGAGGCCCCAUUUUUCCACAUUCCCUUUAAACUCAUCAGGGCUCCGUUUCCUGCACCUGCCUUUGAAAUCAUUGAAUUCACUGUCAAGUCAUUACCCCAGUCUGUAACGUCAAGGUAAAGUCCAGCACCAUCGAAGCCCAAAGGUGUUGGAUUAUCAGAUCUUUGCUGCAGGUCCUUUCUGUAUGUGUUGUCUAGAUUUAUGACAGUUUUAUACACUUCAAUUAAACCUUCCCAAAUAUGUUGCAAAGGCAGUAAUUCUAGUCCAGACAACCCAACACAUCCUCAAUUCAUCUAAUUUUGGAAAGUUCCUUGUGAAUCUCCUCCACACCCUCUCUGGAGUCACCACAUCCUUCCUGACUGCUCAGGAUAUCUCCAUAUCCCGAAUACAGGUAAUGAGUGUAGAAGGUAAUCUCCAGCCCAGGUUCUUUGGGAUUGAGCAGUAUUCAAAUUAUAGGUUAUAGAUACCCUUCUUUGUCACAGGUUCAUUUCCAAUGUAACUUUAAAUAUUGUUUUUGUGCAAUAUUGUGCUUAUAUAUAAAUAUAUACCUGUACAAAAUACUUAAAAACAUUCAUUAACUGUACUUGCCCAAACCUGUGGAACGCAGUGCUACAUGGAAACUCACAAGCUAGGAACCCCCGCCAUGAUCCAGGCCAUAUCAAAGUUCUAGAUCAGCAUGUGUCUCAAGUGGAGAUUGUCUCUUGUAAAAGGCCAGAUAUAAUGAUAAAAUCACCCACUAUUGAAUGGCAGAUUAGACUCGAUGGGUCAAGUGACCUAAUUCUCUUCCUAGGUUUAGAGAUGGUAAUAGGCCCCUCCAGCCCAACAGGCUCACGCUGCCUAAUAACACCCAUGGGACCAAUUAACCUACUGACCUGUACGUAGGAGAUAAUGCUGAGCCUUUAUAAGACACUAGUCAGGCUGCACUUGGAGUAUUGGGCCCCAUACCUCAGAAAGGAAGUGUUAUCAUUGGAGAGAGUCCAGAGGAGGUUCACGAAGAUGAUUCCAGGAAUGAAGGGGGUUAAUGUAUGGGAAGUGUUUGGCAGCUUCAGGCCUAAGCUCACUGGAAUUUAGAAGAAUGUGGGGGGAUCUCAUUGAAACGUACCAAAUGUUGAAAGGACUAAACAGGGUGGAUGUGGAGAGGAUGUUUCCUAUGCGGGGGGAUUAUCCAGAACUAGGAGGCACAACCUCAAAACUCAGGGGCGACAUUUUAGAGCAGAGGUAACGAGGGAUUUUUUUAGUGACAGAGUAUUGAAUCUGUGAAAUGCUCUGCCACAGACUAUGGUGGAGGCAAAAGUUGAUCAUUUCCUGAUUGGUCAGGGCAUCAAAGGAUACAGCGAGAAGGCAAGAGUAUGGAAUCAGCCAUGCUGGAAUGGCAGAGCAGACUCGAUGGGCUGAAUGACCCAAUUUGGUUCCUAUGUCUUAUGGUCUUUGAAAUGUGGGAGGAAACCAGAGCACCCAGAGGAAACCCAUGCAGUCACAGGAGUCAUAAAGACUCCUUGCAGACAGCAGUGGAAUUGAAGCUGGGUCAUUUUUGCUGCAUUAGUAUUACACAAACCAUUAUGCUGUUAUGCUUUUAUAGGCAUCCGUUAGUCUCAUGAGGAGGUUUCCAGGGCGCAGGCCUGGGCAAGGUUGUAUGGAAGACCAUGCUGCAAGUCUCCUCUCUCCACGCCACUGAUGUUGUCCAAGGGAAGGACAUUAGGACCCAUACAGCUUGGCACCGGUGUCGUCGCAGAGCAAUGUGUGGUUAAGUGCCUUGCUCAAGGACACAACACGUAGCCUCAGCUGAGGCUUGAACUAGCGACCUUCAGAUCACUAGACGAAUGCCUUAACCAUUUGGCCACUGUUAUGCUUAUGGUCUUCUUUAGUCCACUGUCCAACAGUAUACAGGCAGGUAUCUAGUGGAGAUCAUAGCAUCAUCAAGUUCAACCUCAUGUUCAGAGGGAAGAAGAUUUUAUGUAAUGCUGAGGAACACAGAGUGAAAGGGAGAUUGCCCCGGCUUAACUGGCAGAUCUAUACACAAAAAGUACUGGAGGAACUCCGCAGGCUGGUCAGCAUCCAUGGAGAGGAAUAAGCAUUCAAAGUUUUGGGCCAACACCAGAUGAAAGUUCUCCUCCCUUUCUUCCAUGUCCUUUCCCAUUAAAUUCCUUUUUCUACAGCUCUUUACCUCUUCCAGCUCACCAACCCACCUUCUCCCUCACCUGAUCUCAGCAAUCCUCUACCAGCUGAUGUUUCUUCCCCUCCUUCCACCACCUUUUCCUGAUUUCCACCCGUUUCCUUUCCAGACCUGAUGAAGCAUCUCGGCCCAAAACAUCAACUGUUUACUCCCCUCCGUAGAUGCUGCCCGAUGAGCUGAGACCCUACAGCAUUCUGUGGGUGUUGCUCAAGAACUCCAGCAUCUGUAUGACUUUUGUGUCUGACGUGAGAUUUGUUCUUUUCGUGCAGCAGUACAGUGCAAAGGCAAAGUAAAUAAUUAGUGCACACAAACAAAGUAGUGUUCACGGGUUCAUAGACUAGUCGGAAAGCUGAUGGUUGAGGGGAAGAAGCUGUUCCUAGAUCACUGAGGGUAUGCCCUCAGUACCCUGUAUUCCUCACUGGCAGUAGUUAAUGAGAAUAGGGUUUGCUGAGGGUCCUUAGUGAUGGAUACUGCCUUUUUGCGGCACUACCUCUUGAAGAUUACCUCGAUGGUGGGGACGUUUGUGCCCAUGAUGGAGCCUGUUGAGUCUGCAAACCUGUGCACUGUAUCCUCCAUACCAGGCCGUAAUGCUACACAUGGGUCUGGAGACCAAGUCUUUGGCUAUACUUAAAGCAAAGGUUGAUAGGUUCUUGAUUAAUAAGGGUGUCAAAGGUUACAGGGUGAAGGCAAUCCUUAUUUGAGUUAUGGUACCUUUUUUCACUCAUAAAACUAUAAUUGCCAUGAUAGAGAAUUCCAAGGAUUUUUUGACUUAUUCAAAGAAAAAGUAACCUGGAAUAUGCAAUUGUUUCUUCUCAAACUCUGCUCCCCAGCCCCUGAAUUCUAGUCAUAGAAUCACAGAGAUCUCUAACUGGAAGCCCCAUUUAGAAAUUGGAGCAAUACUCACUGUUGUUG